CAUGAUUUACAAAUAUUUUUAUCAUUUGUAUCAGUUGUCUUUUUACUUUUUGAUAAUAUCUUUUGAAGCAUAUACAUUUUUUUUUUUUUUUUUUUGGUACCAGGAAUCAAAUUGAGGACCUUGCACUUGCCAGGCAGGCUCUGUGCCACUGAGCUACAUCCUGGGCCCAUGUGUACAUUCUUCACUAGACAAAGUCAGAGCGCCCUACCCUCAGAAACGGAAGCCAGGAGUGUAAAUGGAAAGUACACGGUACCGCCUGUCUGUGCAGAUCUUCUCUGGAAAGAACUCACCCUUGGCAAGGUGUCAGUUGAUGUACCCAGAAGAAAACAUUCAUUUUUCUCACCCUGCUCUUGGGGAAAGUGAUAUUACCUGCCUUUAGCACAAAUCUACUUUAACUGGAUGAUUUUGAUGAGCUCUGUACUAG
rnacentral:lncRNA from 1 species